rnacentral:rRNA from 1 species
UACGUAGGGGCAAGCGUUGUCCGGAAUCAUUGGGCGUAAAGAGCGUGUAGGCGGCCCGAUAAGUCCGCCGUGAAAGUCCAGGGCUCAACCCUGGAAUGCCGGUGGAAACUGUCGGGCUGGAGUCCGGAAGAGGCGAGUGGAAUUCCUGGUGUAGCGGUGAAAUGCGCAGAUAUCAGGAGGAACACCAAUGGCGAAGGCAGCUCGCUGGGACGGUACUGACGCUGAGACGCGAAAGCGUGGGGAGCAAACAGG